rnacentral:rRNA from 1 species
AUUGAACGCUGGCGGCAUGCCUUACACAUGCAAGUCGAACGGUAACGGGCCUUCGGGUGCCGACGAGUGGCGAACGGGUGAGUAAUGCAUCGGAACGUACCCAUCAGUGGGGGAUAACUCUCCGAAAGGAGGGCUAAUACCGCAUAUUCUGUGCGCAGGAAAGCGGGGGACCGCAAGGCCUCGCGCUGAUGGAGCGGCCGAUGUCAGAUUAGCUAGUUGGUGGGGUAAAGGCCGACCAAGGCGACGAUCUGUAGCGGGUCUGAGAGGAUGAUCCGCCACACUGGGACUGAGACACGGCCCAGACUCCUACGGGAGGCAGCAGCGGGGAAUUUUGGACAAUGGGCGCAAGCCUGAUCCAGCCAUGCCGCGUGCGGGAAGAAGGCCUUCGGGUUGUAAACCGCUUUUGGCAGGAACGAAACGGCGACUCCUAAUACGGGUGGCUAAUGACGGUACCUGCAGAAUAAGCACCGGCUAACUACGUGCCAGCCGCCGCUGUAACAC